GACGAACGCUGGCGGCGUGCUUAACACAUGCAAGUCGAACGAUGAAGCUGGAGCUUGCUCCGGUGGAUUAGUGGCGAACGGGUGAGUAACACGUGAGCAAUCCGCCCUUGACUCUGGGAUAACUGCGGGAAACUGUAGCUAAUACCGGAUAUGAGGCUUGGAGGCAUCUCCAGGUCUGGAAAGAAUUUCGGUCAAGGAUGAGCUCGCAGCCUAUCAGCUAGUUGGUGAGGUAAUGGCUCACCAAGGCGACGACGGGUAGCCGGCCUGAGAGGGUGAGCGGCCACACUGGGACUGAGACACGGCCCAGACUCCUACGGGAGGCAGCAGUGGGGAAUAUUGCACAAUGGGCGAAAGCCUGAUGCAGCAACGCCGCGUGAGGGAUGAAGGCCUUCGGGUUGUAAACCUCUUUUAGCAGGGAAGAAGCGAAAGUGACGGUACCUGCAGAAAAAGCACCGGCUAACUACGUGCCAGCCGCCGCGGUAA
rnacentral:rRNA from 1 species